UGGGGAAUAUUGCACAAUGGGCGCAAGCCUGAUGCAGCGACGCCGCGUGUGGGAUGACGGCCUUCGGGUUGUAAACCACUGUCACCACAGACGAAGCAGUUUUUUGUGACGGUAUGUGGGGAGGAAGCACCGGCCAACUACGUGCCAGCAGCCGCGGUGAUACGUAGGGUGCGAGCGUUGUCCGGAUUUAUUGGGCGUAAAGGGCUCGUAGGUGGUUUGUUGCGUCGAAAGUGAAAACCUGGGGCUUAACUUUGGGCUUGCUUUCGAUACGGGCAGACUUGAGGGAAGUAUGGGAGAAUGGAAUUCCUGGUGAAGCGGUGGAAUGCGCAGAUAUCAGGAGGAACACCGAUGGCGAAGGCAGUUCUCUGGGCUUUUCCUGACGCUGAGGAGCGAAAGCGUGGGGAGCAAACAGGCUUAGAUACCCUGGUAGUCCACGCUGUAAACGGUGGGUACUAGAUGUGGGGACUUGUUCAAUGGUUUCUGUGUCGUAGCUAAAGCUUUAAGUACCCCGUCCU
rnacentral:rRNA from 1 species